rnacentral:rRNA from 1 species
GAGGCCCCGUAAUCGGAAUGAGUACACUUUAAAUCCUUUAACAAGGAUCCAUUGGAGGGCAAGUCUGGUGCCAGCAGCCGCGGUAAUUCCAGCUCCAAUAGCGUAUAUUAAAGUUGUUGCGGUUAAAAAGCUCGUAGUUGGUUCUGCGUGCCGCGCUGUCGGUUCGCCGCCUGUCGGUGUAACUGGCAUGUCGCGGCAUGUCCUGUCGGUGGUGAACGGGGUUCCCGGUGCUUCAUUGGCUUUUUAUUCUGUGUUUGUGCUGUGUGAAGUUCGUUUGCCCAUCUUUCCUACUCCGGUGCUCUUAAACGAGUGUCGAGGUAGGCCGACACGUUCACUUUGAACAAAUUAAGUGCUUAAAGCAGGCUGAAAUAUCGCCUGAAUAGUGGUGCAUGGAAUGAUAAAAUAGGACCUCGGUUCUAUUUUGUUGGUUUUAGGAAUGUGAGGUAAUGAUCAAUGUGGACUGGCGGGGGCAUUCGUAUUGCGACGUUAGAGGUGAAAUUCUUGGAUCGUCGCAAGACGCACUAAAGCGAAAGCAUUUGCCAAGUAUGUCUUAAUUGAUCAAGAACGAAAGUUAGAGGUUCGAAGGCGAUCAGAUACCGCCCUAGUUCUAACCAUAAACGAUGCCAGCCAGCGAUCCGCCGAUGUUCCAUUAAUGACUCGGCGGGGAGCUUCUUCCCGGGAAACCAAAGCUUUUGGGUUCCGGGGGAAGUAUGGUUGCAAAGCUGUAACUUAAAGGA